rnacentral:tRNA from 1 species
CAAAUUAGAGCUUGAGUUAGAGUGUUUCAUUUACAUUGAAAAGAUAUUAUUAUUAAAUAAUUAAUUUGA